AAAAGCUGCAGGUUGAAUCCGAGUUCUUUCAUAUCCUGGAUGCUAGAAAAUCAUAGGGAGGAGUCUUAAACAUUAAAAAAAAGGGGUGACUCAAUGCACAAAGCAUCCCACACUUAUGGGCUCUGGGGAGUCUUAAACAUUGUUUUAACAAAAAUGUGGUAGUGGUUCUUUGUGAAAUAUGAAUAUAAUUGACCAAUUCUAUGUGCAGAAUUAGAA
rnacentral:misc_RNA from 1 species